rfam:Schistosoma mansoni, Puerto Rico, WGS project CABG01000000 data, contig: 0252
AUACAGCUGACGUGUCCCAAAUAGGACGAAACGCUCGUCCUGGAU